CGAAGGACAAGCGGUUAAUCCUGGCCGCACAUGUCUCAUAGGAGGCUCUGACAAAUAGUUAUAAUGUGUUUACCCUGCGCGGCUGCCCGUCGCUUGAAUAAACAACCGAGUUUGCUGGGUGAAGGUGGAAGCCUUGGAAGGGCUGUAUGGAGCAAGACGCGUGCACCCAAUGGCUGGGCGUGGUGGCAGAGGGUGAGUGUGACGUGGGCGUGGGCGGCGAUGGGUGGGCAGGCAAGCACAAAGACAGGCGGUUGACGGAAUGUUUGGUUUGUGCUCACUGUGUCACGGACGUAGCAGAGAGAGAGAGAGAGAGAGAGAGAGAGAGAGAGAAUAUGUGGGGCGGAUAGGAGAGAGAACCUAUUUUGUGUGCGAUUUUCUGCAUUGCGCACACGCUCGCACACGUGAAUAUGUGUGUGUGUGUGUGUGUGUGUGUGUGUGUGUGUGUGUGUGUGUGUAUGGAGAAAAGUUUAGGGGAGGUACCAUGAAUUGUCCACACACACACACACACACACACACACACACACACACACACACACACACACUCUCUCUAGGAAGCCAUUACUCGGUGCGUCAGACCACACCACCACCAGCGCCGCCCUCAGCCCUCCCUCCACGCCGCCCUUCCCAUGCAGGCCCUCCACUUAACCCACCCACGACCUCCGCCCCUUCCACGCCCUCCUCCGCCCCCGCCAGCCUCCCGCCUCAGUAACCCACCCAUGCAAAUCUCCCCCCUCUGGCCUCCUCCUCCCCCUCAGCCGCUGUGUCAUCCGUCCCGGCGCUGCCUUCCUUAUUGCCGCAUUCAUUCAAACAUUCGGUUAUCGCGUCCUCCCUAUACCCCACCAUGUCUAGUGUUCCAGAUUUUAUUUACAGUAAAGGAAGCAGCUCAAAGGUUGCUGGUUAACUCUUGCAUCAGGGAUUUAGAUGAUAUAGGGAUGAAAGAAUGAGGGUGUUGGUUAAUUCUUUCAUAAGGGAUUUGGACAGUUUAGGGAUGACAGAAUGAAGGUGCUGGUAAACUCUUGCAUAAGGGAUUUGGACAGUUUAGGGAUGAUAGAAUGAAGGUGCUGGUAAACUCUUGCAUAAGGGAUUUGGACAGUUUAGGGAUGAUAGAAUGAAGGUGCUGGUAAACUCUUGCAUACGGGAUUUGGACAGUUUAGGGAUGAUAGAAUGAAGGUGCUGGUAAACUCUUGCAUAAGGGAUUUGGACAGUUUAGGGAUGACAGAAUGAAGGUGCUGGUAAACUCUUGCAUAAGGGAUUUGGACAGUUUAGGGAUGAUAGAAUGAAGGUGCUGGUAAACUCUUGCAUAAGGGAUUUGGACAGUUUAGGGAUGAUAGAAUGAAGGUGCUGGUAAACUCUUGCAUUAGGGAUUUCUUAUUUUCCUAUUUUCUUUUAUUGUAAUUUUCUUCUCUUCUCUUUUUUUAACUUCUUAUUCUCUUUUCUGCUCUUCCAUUUUUCUUCUUUUCUCUUUUUCUUCUCUUCUUCUACUAGUUAUCCAAUUUUCUCUUCUUAUUUCCCAUUUCCUAUCUAUCCUCUCACACUCACCUCACAAUCACACACUCACACCACAAACCACGCAGCUACUCACAAUCAUUACACUUCCUCGGUCUUUUUCGUUCGACCUUCAGCAAACAAAACAAAAAAAUUCCCCCGUCAUUUUAUUUUUUAACGUGAGGAUUUUUUUUUUCUGAUGGCCGGCGACUCACAUGAAAUAUUUCCUAGUGUUUUAGUUUAUUAUUCAUCCAAGGAGAAGAAGAAUGACAGCCUUACACGUUUGAUUUAAAGCCGAAACAACGAACACUGUCACUAAAUCGAGUUACUAGUAUUUAUAUCGCGUGAAUACAAUGAACAAUGGAUGCAGACCACUUGUUAUCACGACGAUACUGAGGGUCAUAUUCCUAUAAACAUCUCGCAGCCCAUUACACACACAUUCGACAAGGCUUUCGUAUGUGUUGUGGGUAUUUUCAAAGGGUAGUAUUAUGACCCUUCUUCUGAGCCGUGAACCUCCUAAAACGCCCAUUAGAACGCGAUUGAUCUCCUCUUUGGCCUUUGGAAAUAGUCAUUGUGAGAGGCGGAAGUGUCUGAGAAUACCGCUCGACCCUGCCAAACCAGACCUAACACAGCAAAGCACCAUCAGCGUGUCUGUGUACCCCGCCCAGGCAAGGUCCCUGCGUCACGUGUAUAGAGAUAGUAAUUACCGUAAGCGUCUUGGGGUCGGAAGUUCAAUGCGACAAUUAGUAAGGCAACAAAGACACCCGCCCUUCCUCGUUAGAUUCGCCACACGGGCACACACACCUCAAUCAAAAGUCCGUAUUCUUAAACGUAUCGGCCCCUCAGGGGAGGAAAGGGAAAGAAGUCGGUGGAGAGGGAAGGAUAGAGAGAAAAGAGAAGUAGGAGAAUUGGGAUGGGAAAAGGAAAAGGAAGG